rnacentral:lncRNA from 1 species
CAAGGUCUAGGGAAACAAUAAAAAGAUUCGGAGCUCACCACUUGACGAAAGGGAGGGGGCUGGCGCUUGGGCUUUCAUUCAUGGAGAACAAAAGAAAAAGGGGAAGCUGCUGCUGCAGAAUUAGAGGAGGGCUACUGCUCCACGGAAGAACAGAGAGGAGGCUGGGCACAGAGGGAGGGCGAGCAGGGGAAGGAGGUGCCAUGGCUGCUGGCGUGGGGAGAAACCAGGGAGCAGAGAGGGGCUGGGCGAGCUCAGUUUGGGGAGGAAGAUGAGGGAGGGGCGGCCAUGGAAACCUAGGGCAGUGGAGGGAGCUCACCAUGGAAGAAGCUGCAGACGGCCAUGGGAAGGAAGCACGGCGUGCUUGCAGCUGACAUGGGGAGGGACUCGGCUGGUGCAGCGGCCAUGGAGGCGAGGAGAUGGCUGGGCGAGCAGGGAGGGCGCGGCUGGCGAGCUGGAGCCGGGGAGAAACCAGAGCAAGGACAGCCGGCGUGGAGGCUAAGGCCGUCGGCCUGGGAAGAAGAUGGCGUGUAGGAGUUUGGUUGGGACGUGGCUGAUAAGCUUUGCAUCCUGGGCAUGCUGCGUAUGGCUGAGUGGAUGAGCUACGGUGGUUUCCAGGGAACAAACGUGUCUGAUGCUCAGAACAAUAAAGGGUGUGGUGGUUGAGGUUAAAAUCGAAGAAAUAUCUUCAUUCUCUUUUCCUCCACCAAGCAAUAUCUAAUUUACUCCACGAUUCUUAUUUUUGCACACCAACUAAUCCUAGAUUUAAAUCUUAAGACUAUGGCACAACUCGAUUUGAAUUUAAACUACCAAAGUUUUGAAUAGUUAGUAUUUGUCUAAAUUUUAAAUCCAAACAUACGCUAGUCUGAGUUAAUGUGGCACGAGCCACAAAAACCUAACAUAAGUUCUUGCGUUACGAUUUAGACGAAAAACAAAUAGACCGGAUUAAAACGAAAUUUAGGCUACACAUAAUAAAUUUUCAUAGCUACUGAAACAGAUUAAUUAUGAAUACUGGGUCCUGGCAGUAAUUAUCUCAGCCCUAUUUAAUUUUGCAUCAAUAUUGUUAUCGUCGAGUUCUAAUAAUAUUUGCUUGGGCCAAAAUCGCAAGAGUGAGUCGAGAUUCCAAAUUCAUGUUCUCUUAAUCCUUAAAUUUUGAAUAGACACCAGACUCGACAUAUCGCGAAAUAAAUACGCGAGAUCGAUGUGGCAUCGAAAUUGUGAUCCUUUCGGAAGCGAUGUCACGCAUCGUUCACGGGGCGAGAGGUUGGGCGCUGUCCAGACGCCGGUUAGCACCCGCCACACGCGUCACGAUGUCAGGCCACAGAGAGACACGUGCAACGCAAGCGUGAAAGAAUUUCAAAUGCAGUUUAAGAAACUAGAUCCGAUUUCCAGAAUUAAAGUUUGGGCAAGACGUUGAUGGCUUAACCCAAACGAUACUGGAUUCGAUGUUCCGAAAAUUACUGAAGUCUGAAUUUUUGCGAAAUAAUUUAGGACAAUUUAAACAGAUGGAGACAGACACGAUAUCGAAAUCGUGAUCGGCGAAGAUGAUUAAAAUUUAGUGUCCAUUUUAUUCACCGCUAUCACAUGUUAAAGUCUGCGCUCGUGGUCGAGCAGACGAUAAACACCUGGGGUGUUACAACCCUCCCCCUUAAAAGAAUCUCGUCCCGAGAUUCGGAACGAAAGACUUUUAAGAGUAGAGAAGCAUGUGACCCUUGUCCAUAUCAGCGAUAGCAUACAACUACUUUGGGAUGAAUCCAAUAUCACAUUCUUAAACAAGAGAUCACGCAUUUGGGUAGAAAUCCAUUUGGUCAUGUUGUUCAUCUGUUUCUUCAUGUGAGAUGAAAUGACAUGGUUUGGGAAUACAUAGAUUAAAUAAGAGAGUGAAUGAACAUACUCCUACAUCUCAGCAGCAGGGAAAAUCAAUUCCCCAUUUUGAAAACUAAUUAGCUGUCUUUCAACACUAAAAAGCUUCAAGGCUUCACCUUUACACAAAGGACGUAAAGGAAACUUGUAUGUGUAGUCACCACCAAAAUCAAGAGAAAAGAGACCACACAUGAAAGGGGUGAAUUUUUUUUAACACACGGUUAGACACAAAUAGGUUUUGAUUUUUGUUGGAGAUUUCUGAAUGGGUAGAAAAUUUACCAAGGAAUACAUUAGAGUUAUACACUCUUUUGAUCCAACAGUGAUGGCAUAUGUUGCUUGAUUGUUGUAGAAAACAACACAAAAAUCGUUUCAAGGGAGGAGUCAACGGAAGAUCACACAUUAGUGUAGUUCCACAAUGGAUCAUGACCAAAGACCUCGAUACCAGCAUGCGCCAAGCAGCAUAACCUUGCGUGUACAUUCACAAGGGGCUCUCAGUUUCGUCGCGGCACCAAAAAUCAUUAAUCGUGACACCAUUACCGAAGUCGCACCAAUAAUGAAUCUCACGGCGUAAGAACAAAAGUAUGCAGAGAUGACAUAUCGAUAUAGUCUAAUAAUGGAUUACAACUACUAACUGUGAUACCAGCUCGUGCCAAGUAGCGCAACCAUGUGCUGAUCACCCACAGGAGGCCCUCGGUUUCGUCGCGGCACCAUCAAUUUUAGUCAUAACGCCAUUACCAGACGUAACCAAUAAGAAAUCUCAUGCGGCACAAAUAGACUGAGCCAGGGUGACAAUAUACAAAAUAGACUCCAUUAAGAAUGGUUACAAGUAGAGAGCCAAAUAGAUCAUGGACCGAUGAAACGAACAAGACAUGGUCAAGACCUAAAUCGGUUGAUGAAGGGAGUACGAUAAGAGACUGUUAAUUCAGCCCCAAGCAUAUUUCUAUGCCCAUCGCAAAGAUUACAAGGUCGAUGAUUAAUGUCAGAUUAGAUAUAGAGGGGACACAAUCAUAAGACUAAAUUGAGAAGCCUUAGAGAGAUAUGAGAAAUCGAAGGCAUUAAAUUCAAGAAAAUAAUUGGGCACUCCUUUCCUAGGUUGGACUGAGAAAGCAACAAGGUGAUCCUGAUGGAGAUGCAAACUGACAUAGAGAUAUCAGCUUGCACCAACCGAACAAAGGUAUGUUUUAGGAUGAAAAUAUGACCAUAAGAGCUACAAGUUGGCUGUUAAGAUCAGGGACUCGAGAUAUUUUUUUAAGUUUGAAUGCAUCAUAGGUCCAAUAAGGGAAUUACCUAAACAUCUUUUAUAUGAGCUUGAUCACAAAGUAACGACGAAAAAAAUUCAGACUCGUCCACGUUUGGAAACUGGGGAAAAAUUUCAAAGAAUUUACAUCGAUUUGGGUCAUGGCUCCUAGAUGAGGACAUGGCCUAAUUUUGAGUUUAUGCAAACAUACCACCAACAUUCUAUCGGCACACAGGCACAAAAAUAAACAUAAGUUGCACUAUCGGUCAAACUAAGAAGAACCACAGACCACAUAAACACAUGUCUAAAGGACACCUCAAAUAAAGCUAGAAAUUUGCUUAUAGGACAGUCAUACUUCAAACAUUUUCCAAUUAUUUAUUAUCGAAAUAAAGAUGAGAAAAGCAUAUUCGUUUACAACCACCAAUUAUUAGAAUAAGGGCAAGAGAAGCAUAUUUGUGCACAAACAACAAACACAAUGCAACAAUCAGGAUGCAUGCUCGUCCUAUUCGUCCUCACGAAUUUUGCCAACUUAAUGUGGCAAUAGCGUUCUAUAUCGGUGGCAUAUCUACGUUCUCUCUCGAUAUGUUGCUAGUCGUCAGCUACACAUACGAGUUCGAAGUUAGUGUACCUGCAGAAAAUUCCAUCACAGCCCAAUUCCCAAUGAUGCAAUUCACACAUGACAGUUUAUCACAGUUUAUACUCCAUAUAUUUCUAUAUGGAGGCCAGCUCAUCAUUAAGCGUCGAGCCACGCAUAGGCGCCGCUGCCACACUUUAACCAUAGGGCAGCCCAUUAUGGUAACUCACCUUCUUACCUGAGCGUAGGUGCGUCGUUGCAAAGACAUUACACUUCUCAGUAUUCUCAUGUCUGUAUACCCAUACACAUCCAUGGGGUACUGAAUCCCAAAAAGUAAAUACUCCACAUCGCAGCCUUCAUAUAUACAUAUGUAAAACAUGUAUAUAAUCAAGCGCUUUUUAUACUCUCCCCUAGACCGACGUUUGUUCAGUCAUGCUCUCACAUCUCACCUUACCUUGAGCGUCGAUCCAUUCAAAACUGAAUGGCCUCAAAAAAAUAACAUUACACAUGUAUGCAUUCCCAGGUUGUGGGUUAGUAUUUUGAUCAAAGCCACCUGAUAGUCCUUAAUUUAGGGCUUAACAGAGGAUGUCACUAGCAUAAUAGUUUUUCAAAGCUAUUUUUCAAAGCCAAACAAUGUGUUUAGUUGAAAAUAGGUUUUCCAAAACCAAAAUCUUUGUUUUGAAAAUACGUAUGUGACCGUAUUAUACUUAAUCACGCUCCGAUACCAGCUGUCGCAGAACCUCCCAAGUUAUCGGGCCCACAUGCACCUGUCCUUGUCUCAAAGACCUCAGACAGCUAUGCAUGUGCACCAAACAACUUAACAGGAUCUGUCCGAGUGCCCCGAGGACCCCGGAUAAACGACUUACCGCCAAGAUCGCAAGAUUAAGUAAACACAAAUCACACACCAUCAUUUGCAGCGGAAAUAAAUUCUUUAUUGCAAAAUGAUUACAUGUUACAAUAAGUUUACAUUAUACAAUUAUCGGAGUGAUUACAAAAGAAAGUGAUUCAAAAGAAUUAUAAUUUAAAAUGUAUAAAAUAUUUAUAGUUUUUAAAAUACAUGCUAACUUAAGUGACAAUCCUCAAUAAAGAAGCUAAAGAUGGGAUAUACUUAUAUAAGAAGGCCGAGCCCAUCGGCACUUAGCACCAUCCACAACAGAACAAAAUUUCAACCUGAAAAACAACAGGGAAUAAAACCCUGAGUACGCAAUUACUCAGCAAGACUUACCCGACUAAAGAAAAGACUCUCAAGGGUAUGCUGGUUUGUCGGGAAUUAAGGUAAAGCUUAUCGAAUUUCAAAGACACGUUUUCGCAGAAAAGCUUACUAGUAGUGGAUCCUUAUGCCAAACUUUUACUUCACAAAUUAAGUAUUUUUCCUGAAUUUAGAUUUGCCUAAUCUAGAGCAUUCACUUGUCCUACACUAGCUUCAUUUUAGCAGCUUUAGUUUCACUUGUUAUCUACGAUGCAGGGCAGUGAUCCAGUCUUCAUAUCCGAGAAGUAACGGCGAUCCGAAUCGAUUAAUACUCAGCUGAGGAUCUCCAACCACACGACAUAUGUAGCACUUAACCCUUGCAUAUGUCAACUCGCCCAUGGGUUUCUCAAGACCAGAACGGGUUCACGCGACCUGAGAGCACAGCACUCCACCGUCCAGUCAUUGGCCUGGUUGGUACACGUUACUCUCGCCAUGGUGCCCGCCAUGUUUCCAAGAGUACAGCACCCCACCUUCCAGCCGUUGGCCUAGUUGGUACACGUUACUCUCGCCAUGGUGCCCGCCAUGUUUCCGAGAGUACAGCACCCCACCUUCCAGUCUCUUGCCACGGAGGGUACAAGCUACUCUCGCCAUCUCUCCACUCCCAGUGCGUGCGAGCUGUUCUGGUAUUGGUCCGACCGAGGCAAAGCUUACCCAUGAUGAGGCAUGUGGCCAGUUAAAGGGUCCUAGAUCAGCAGGCCAACAAUCAGAACGGUCCUUAAGCGACACAGACGGGCGACCUUUCCUGCUCAACGUCUGGUCUCAUCUUAUUAUUUAACACCCAAACCAUGUACCUGACAGAGGUACCAUACUUGAAUGAUGAAUUCAUCACUGCAGAUGAUGCGCUCACCAUUACAAGUCCUUUUUCAUAAAACAAACCCAUACCCAGUGUCACACAUCAUUCUUUUAAAAAGAAACAAGUUUUAAUUCUCUAGGCAGGGCUAAGCCUCAUUAGUUCUUUUUGUAAAACAGGUAUCAAGGAGGAUAAUCAAAUUCCAAGGAAUGGCAAUGCAUCAACUGUUUCAUCACUCAACUCCUAUCACCUAAUGCAGCAUAUAAGUGAUAAAAGUUUUAAAACAACAAGGAGGUGGCAAAUGCACCGGGGCUUGCCUGAAAUAAACACUAUGUUAGUGUUGUUAGAUGAAGGCCACUUGACGAUCAACUUUCGUUUUGACAUCCGCUUAGUCCAUCCAUCUUCAGGCUCAUUGGCCGACAUCGUCUUGUGGGUUGUUUUGAUCCACACCCUUCGCUUCGCACGAUUUUCAGCUAGCGUACCUAAUUAGAUGUACAAUGCACAUGUAUAAACAUAAGGAAGAAUAACACAACAUAUUACACACAAUAAAGAAUUAAGCACAAUGACGAGACGCUGCAACACUUGUGAGAAAAUACUAGAUGCCAACAAAUGACUAAGUACAACAAGGACGGCCAUGGGUUCUAACCCAAACAUCGAGAAACUUUAAACGAAUACAAGUCCUAUCGUACUUAGGUAGAGUAUAAUACAAAAGAUUCAUCCGAUUAAAUUCACUAUAACUAGCUUCUAGGACUAACAUAUGGAGAGAAGCAAACUAACACAUUUAACAUAAUUAACCUAAACAGACUUAUCAGUUAAUUAUUGAAAUGCUACAUUUAUUUCUCGCAUUAUUAUUGAUACCACACAUCGCUCGUGCAGAACUAAUUUAAUUUUUACUUCAUAUUACUAAUUUCACCAUACUUACACAAAUCUGAAUAGUCGCAACUCAUUUACAUUCACCAAAGUAUUUACCUCCUCCUUAAUUCAAUCAAGUCUAAAGCAAACAUUUAGAAAGAAUGAACUGACCAUAUAUAAUAAAGAAUUUGGAUAAACACUUCACAUGCAACAAGUUUUCAUCAAUCAAGGAUCAAGGAUUGACUAAUCCUUCCCAGGCAAACAAAAAUGACACCAAGGAAUCAGUUUAACACAUGCAGAUUUUCUAGACAGCAGCACAGUGGUUAACUGUUUUAUUCAUAACUUACACAAUACUCAUCCAAAAAUAGUAAACUAAGACUUUUUGAAAAGAUUAUAAAGUCCUCUACAAUUUUGGUAUUAUCAUCACAGUGAGAUUCGACAUAUAGAAAUAUCAAACAGUACUAAACGCAAUUUCUGUCCAGAUUUGGACAGAAUUCGACUACUCGCUUCAAAAAUCCAUAACCGGAGUUUCAGAAAUCCAAAUCAGGUGAUCCUAGACUUUUUAGAAAGCUAGUAGAAUUGUCUACAAUUUAUUUGUAAACAUCUCAGGGUGAUUCAAUGUGUAUCGAAGUCAGUUAAUACAAACAAACAUAGCUGUCCAGAUUUGGACAGAUUCAGACAUCACAUUUCAAAUAGCCAUAACCUGACUUCUAGAUCACCAAAAAGGGUGAUCCAAAUUUUGUUGGGAGGCUUAAGAAAAGUACUAAAAUUCUUCUAUAAUUACUAAAGACUGGUUCUCAUUUUAACUUAGCCAAAAAAUACAAUUUUCGAAACCUGUCCAGAAUUGGGACAGAUUCUGAAACUGGACUUGGAAAAAUCAUAACUCCUAAACUACUAGUCCUAUGGUUAUGAAAUUUUAGCACAAGUAAGAUGAAGAGGUUAGCUACAACUUUUCUAUAUAACACUUUCACAGAAAACAUGAUUUACUUCACUCAAUUAGUUGCACAAUCAAAACUGUACGUGCAGGUUUGGACAGCAAUACCGUCAUCACUUAUUUUAACCAUAACCAUGAAUACAAUCAUGUCACUAUCCACGAAGAGGUAUCACCACUAACUCAUGAUGCAUAUAUAUUCACCAAACACAUCUAUUCAAUUCAUCUAACAAUUCAAUCAAUACUAAUAAUGAAUUAGCUUACCAACACUAAAUAGACUCAGAUUUCGCAAGAGCAACAAGGAUCUUCGGUUCAUCCAUUCCAUCAAACACCUAGAGCGCGUCGAACUGAAACACGGUUUCUUCUCCAUUGAUUUUCCCUAGAACUCUCUUCCAAUCUCACACACAAACACAUAGAGUUUCACAAGCGUCAUGACAUGGACAACAAACUGAAAUCAAAAUACAACACGCAAGGUCUAGGGAAACAAUAAAAAGAUUCGGAGCUCACCACUUGACAAAAGGGAGGGGGCUGGCGCUUGGGCUUUCAUUCAUGGAGAACAAAAGAAAAAGGGGAAGCUGCUGCUGCAGAAUUAGAGGAGGGCUACUGCUCCACGGAAGAACAGAGAGGAGGCUGGGCACAGAGGGAGGGCGAGCAGGGGAAGGAGGUGCCAUGGCUGCUGGCGUGGGGAGAAACCAGGGAGCAGAGAGGGGCUGGGCGAGCUCAGCUUGGGGAGGAAGAUGAGGGAGGGGCGGCCAUGGAAACCUAGGGCACUGGAGGGAGCUCACCAUGGGAGAAGCUGCAGACGGCCAUGGGAAGGAAGCACGGCGUGCUUGCAGCUGACAUGGGGAGGGACUCGGCUGGUGCAGCGGCCAUGGAGGCGAGGAGAUGGCUGGGCGAGCAGGGAGGGCGCGGCUGGCGAGCUGGAGCCGGGGAGAAACCAGAGCAAGGACAGCCGGCGUGGAGGCUAAGGCCGUCGGCCUAGGAAGAAGAUGGCGUGUAGGAGUUUGGUUGGGACGUGGC